AAACGACUCUCGACAACGGAUAUCUCGGCUCUCGCAUCGAUGGAAAACGUAGUGAAAUGCGAUACUUGGUGUGAAUUGCAGAAUCCCGUGAACCAUCGAGUCUUUGAACGCAAGUUGCGCCGAAGCCAUUAGGCCGAGGGCACGUCUGCCUGGGCGUCUCGCAA
rnacentral:rRNA from 1 species